rnacentral:tRNA from 1 species
AGCAGUGUGGCUUAGUGGAAAGAGCAUGGGCUUGGGAGUCAGAGGUCAUGGGUUCGAAUCCCAACUCUUCCA